rnacentral:tRNA from 1 species
CCGACCUUAGCUCAGUUGGUAGAGCGGAGGACUGUAGUGGUUUGCUCACAGAUUAAUCCUUAGGUCGCUGGUUCGAAUCCGGCAGGUCGGA